rnacentral:rRNA from 2 species
GUCGAACGCGUUGGCCCAAUUGAUUGAUGGUGCUUGCACCUGAUUGAUUUUGGUCGCCAACGAGUGGCGGACGGGUGAGUAACACGUAGGUAACCUGCCCAGAAGCGGGGGACAACAUUUGGAAACAGAUGCUAAUACCGCAUAACAGCGUUGUUCGCAUGAACAACGCUUAAAAGAUGGCUUCUCGCUAUCACUUCUGGAUGGACCUGCGGUGCAUUAGCUUGUUGGUGGGGUAACGGCCUACCAAGGCGAUGAUGCAUAGCCGAGUUGAGAGACUGAUCGGCCACAAUGGGACUGAGACACGGCCCAUACUCCUACGGGAGGCAGCAGUAGGGAAUCUUCCACAAUGGGCGCAAGCCUGAUGGAGCAACACCGCGUGAGUGAAGAAGGGUUUCGGCUCGUAAAGCUCUGUUGUUAAAGAAGAACACGUAUGAGAGUAACUGUUCAUACGUUGACGGUAUUUAACCAGAAAGUCACGGCUAACUACGUGCCAGCAGCCGCGGUAAUACGUAGGUGGCAAGCGUUAUCCGGAUUUAUUGGGCGUAAAGAGAGUGCAGGCGGUUUUCUAAGUCUGAUGUGAAAGCCUUCGGCUUAACCGGAGAAGUGCAUCGGAAACUGGAUAACUUGAGUGCAGAAGAGGGUAGUGGAACUCCAUGUGUAGCGGUGGAAUGCGUAGAUAUAUGGAAGAACACCAGUGGCGAAGGCGGCUACCUGGUCUGCAACUGACGCUGAGACUCGAAAGCAUGGGUAGCGAACAGGAUUAGAUACCCUGGUAGUCCAUGCCGUAAACGAUGAGUGCUAGGUGUUGGAGGGUUUCCGCCCUUCAGUGCCGGAGCUAACGCAUUAAGCACUCCGCCUGGGGAGUACGACCGCAAGGUUGAAACUCAAAGGAAUUGACGGGGGCCCGCACAAGCGGUGGAGCAUGUGGUUUAAUUCGAAGCUACGCGAAGAACCUUACCAGGUCUUGACAUCUUGCGCCAACCCUAGAGAUAGGGCGUUUCCUUCGGGAACGCAAUGACAGGUGGUGCAUGGUCGUCGUCAGCUCGUGUCGUGAGAUGUUGGGUUAAGUCCCGCAACGAGCGCAACCCUUGUUACUAGUUGCCAGCAUUAAGUUGGGCACUCUAGUGAGACUGCCGGUGACAAACCGGAGGAAGGUGGGGACGACGUCAGAUCAUCAUGCCCCUUAUGACCUGGGCUACACACGUGCUACAAUGGACGGUACAACGAGUCGCGAACUCGCGAGGGCAAGCAAAUCUCUUAAAACCGUUCUCAGUUCGGACUGCAGGCUGCAACUCGCCUGCACGAAGUCGGAAUCGCUAGUAAUCGCGGAUCAGCAUGCCGCGGUGAAUACGUUCCCGGGCCUUGUACACACCGCCCGUCACACCAUGAGAGUUUGUAACACCCAAAGUCGGUGGGGUAACCUUUUAGGAGCC